AGAGUUUGAUCCUGGCUCAGGACGAACGCUGGCGGCGUGCUUAACACAUGCAAGUCGAACGGGCUCAGUAGCAAUAUUGAGUUAGUGGCGAACGGGUGAGUAACACGUGACUAAUCUGCCCCGGACUGGGGAACAACGGAGGGAAACUUCCGCUAAUACCGCAUAUUGAGCGUGGCCUACAUGGACUGUGCUUGAAAGCUCCGGCGGUCCGGGAUGAGGUCGCGCCCCAUUAGCUUGUUGGCGGGGUAACAGCCCACCAAGGCGACGAUGGGUAGCUGGUCUGAGAGGACGAUCAGCCACACUGGGACUGAGAUACGGCCCAGACUCCUAUGGGAGGCAGCAGUGAGGAAUAUUGCGCAAUGGACGAAAGUCUGACGCAGCAACGCCGCGUGAGGGAUGAAGGUGCUUUGCAUUGUAAACCUCUGUAGAGAGGGACGAAUCGCCCGGUGUUCCGGGCAUUGACGGUACCUCUAAAGUAAGCACCGGCUAACUCCGUGCCAGCAGCCGCGGUAAUACGGAGGGUGCAAGCGUUGUCCGGGAUUUACUGGGUGUAAAGGGCGUGUAGGCGGGAGAAUAUGUCGGAAGUGAAAUCGUACGGCUUAACCGUAGCAAUGGCUUCCGAAACUGUUCUUCUUGAAUGCAGGAGAGGCAGAUGGAAUUCCUGGUGUAGCGGUGGAAUGCGUAGAUAUCAGGAAGAACACCGGUGGCGAAGGCGGUCUGCUGGCCUGUGAUUGACGCUGAGGCGCGAAAGUGUGGGGAGCAAACAGGAUUAGAUACCCUGGUAGUCCACACCGUAAACGAUGGUCACUAGUUGUCGGAGGAUUCGACCCCUUCGGUAACGACGCUAACGCAUUAAGUGACCCACCUGGGGAGUACGCUCGCAAGGGUGAAACUCAAAGGAAUUGACGGGGGCCCGCACAAGCGGUGGAGCAUGUGGUUUAAUUCGACGCAACGCGAAAAACCUUACCUGGGCUUGACAUGCCGAGAACCCUGUGGAAACAUGGGGGUGCCCCGCAAGGGGAGCUCGGACACAGGUGCUGCAUGGCUGUCGUCAGCUCGCGCCGUGAGGUGUUGGGUUAAGUCCCGCAACGAGCGCAACCCUCAUCCUUAGUUGCCAUCAUCAAGUUGGGCACUCUAAGGAAACUGCCGCAGUUAAUGCGGAGGAAGGUGGGGAUGACG
rnacentral:rRNA from 1 species